AAGUCGUAACAAGGUCUCCGUAGGUGAACCUGCGGAGGGAUCAUUACAGAGUUCAUGCCUAACGGGGUAGAUCUCCCCAACCCCUAUGUUAUUAUUUACAUUUGUUUGCUUUCGGUCGGGGUCCCGUUUGCGAAGGGCUUCCACGCCCGGCUACCGGCUCACGCUGGUAAGCGCCCGCCAGAGAACCCCAAACCCUGAAUGUUAGUGUCGUCUGAGUACUAUAUAAUAGUUAAAA
rnacentral:misc_RNA from 1 species